rnacentral:rRNA from 1 species
UACGGAGGGUGCAAGCGUUAAUCGGAAUUACUGGGCGUAAAGGGCUCGUAGGCGGCCAACUAAGUCCGACGUGAAAUCCCAAAGCUUAACUUUGGAACUGCGUCGGAUACUGGAUGGCUUGAAUUCGGGAGAGGGAUGCAGAAUUCCAGGUGUAGCGGUGAAAUGCGUAGAUAUCUGGAGGAAUACCGGUGGCGAAGGCGGCAUCCUGGACCGACAUUGACGCUGAGGAGCGAAAGCUAGGGGAGCAAACGGG